GGCGUAAAGCGAGCGCAGGCGGAAAAAUAAGUCUAAUGUGAAAGCCCUCGGCUUAACCGAGGAACUGCAUCGGAAACUGUUUUUCUUGAGUGCAGAAGAGGAGAGUGGAACUCCAUGUGUAGCGGUGGAAUGCGUAGAUAUAUGGAAGAACACCAGUGGCGAAGGCGGCUCUCUGGUCUGCAACUGACGCUGAGGCUCGAAAGCAUGGGUAGCGAACAGGAUUAGAUACCCUGGUAGUCCAUGCCGUAAACGAUGAGUGCUAAGUGUUGGGAGGUUUCCGCCUCUCAGUGCUGCAGCUAACGCAUUAAGCACUCCGCCUGGGGAGUACGACCGCAAGGUUGAAACUCAAAGGAAUUGACGGGGGCCCGCACAAGCGGUGGAGCAUGUGGUUUAAUUCGAAGCAACGCGAAGAACCUUACCAGGUCUUGACAUCUAGUGCAAUCUGUAGAGAUACGGAGUUCCCUUCGGGGACGCUAAGACAGGUGGUGCAUGGCUGUCGUCAGCUCGUGUCGUGAGAUGUUGGGUUAAGUCCCGCAACGAGCGCAACCCUUGUUAUUAGUUGCCAGCAUUAAGUUGGGCACUCUAAUGAGACUGCCGGUGACAAACCGGAGGAAGGUGGGGAUGACGUCAAGUCAUCAUGCCCCUUAUGACCUGGGCUACACACGUGCUACAAUGGGCAGUACAACGAGAAGCAAGCCUGCGAAGGCAAGCGAAUCUCUGAAAGCUGUUCUCAGUUCGGACUGCAGUCUGCAACUCGACUGCACGAAGCUGGA
rnacentral:rRNA from 1 species